rnacentral:lncRNA from 1 species
AUGAGACUUUUACGUAUUUCCAAUGCGAGUUCAUCGCGCGGGCGCGGGAUUUUCAAAUUUCAAAUAACCGACAUCAGCGUUGCCCCUCGGUCGGUUUGGAUGCGACGAGGAUUUUACGAGUCAGCGGCAUUUGUUCAGGUUGGUGCAAUAUUUUCUGACAUAUACUCUCCGUCCGCAGGUGUUAGAGCAGAGAACUACUGGAAACGGAAAACAGAAGUACAGAGACUUGCCCUAAUGGAAAGUGUCCCAUUCUAGAGCUGAGAAGAGACAGCAGGACAGGGAAUCAUCUGCUAGUGUCGCGUCAGAUGUCUACAUGUCCACAAGUUGUUUAAGAAAAAGUAAGAUACAACUAUCGCAAACACAAGGCAAGAAGUUAUCAGAGAUGAACCCUUCAUCACAGAGUUCAAAACCAGAUGGCCUGCUCUCUUCUGUGUUUCUGAGAAUAAAUUUAAGAGGACUACAACAGUUUGCUGCAACAGUUCUUCUCCAUGCUGGAUGGUUAUUCUUCAGACCUGAAAACGGUGUUUGGCAAGGAAGGCGGCAUUCAAGGACAAAAGAUUAAGAGCAUCAUGGUUCCCAUAACCCAGACUAACUCCAUUGAUGUCAGAAGAGUACAUCCUUUAAGCCCAGUGUGUGUUCCUCAAUGAAGAUCCUGGCAACCUUGUGAAAGAAUGGAUGGUAAGAAUGUUUUUUUUAUUUAUUUCAUGUAAGUUUAAAAUUUCAAAGUGAUUUAUAUAUGCUUUAAAAGUUAAAGUGUUAUAUAACAUCAUCCGCUUAUUUAAUUUUACAUUUCAGAUCGUGGACGCCUUGAAGAAGCCAUGAUAGAGCCAAUUCUUGAAGUUUUUGUCAUUCACAAAGAUGCAGAGGCAGAUGAUGACCCUGAAGAUGUAGUCAUCGUUUCAAGUCCUGGAUGAGUUGGGUAGUGUCCCACUUGCUGUGUUGUUGUUUGCUCUUGUUAUAUGCUCUCAACCUCAGCUACCCUCCACUAAAAGUUGUUUGAAAUAUUGGCCCAAUGCUGUAUGUACAAUACUGGAUGUUAGUGACAUUUUGUAGCUGCCUUUGACAUUUGAAAGCUGUUUUAUCGUUUUUAUGAAGCUUAUAAAGUAUUCUAACCAGUCUAAAUCCAAUGUGCUUUGUGUCUUCUCCAACCUACACACCAGCUGGGGAUAUAUGUUAGUUUACAUAAUAGAAAUACUGUUUCAAAGAUUACUUUAUUUGUAUGUAAUUUUGAAAAGCUAAUGUUGGCACAAAACAUUUGAUAACUUUACAUUGGUUGUGUUAGUAUAGCAUAAUUUAUUAAUUAAUUUAAAUUAACUUGUUACUACCCUAUAAAAUUAAGUAACAAGUAUUAAUAUUAUACAUGAUCAAAUAACCCAAGAAAAUUAUGUUCAAUCAACCCUAAAAACAUUAGUGGGACUGACCCAUGGUCAUUAGGUAACAUUAACAUGAAUAUAUCAUGUUGCUUCACCCUGUUUACAUUUGGUUCACUAAGCAAAAUAGCUUCUUGCUAUCUUAACGCAUUUUAAUUAGAUGGAAAUACUUUCCAUAAUUUUAUUAUGUUCAUCCAACAAGUUUUUUUUUUGAGUG